GUGGGUGUACUACUGAUAAUCUCAAACUUGUUCCUCUUAACUUCAGUAGAAGAAUUUCUGGGAAUAGAUAAAUGUGUGUAUGCAAAGUGUUGUGUGAUGGGAUGUGGCCUGUGGCUGGGUUAAUUAGCUAGAGAUCUCAAUUAGCUAUGCCGGGGCAGAUCCUUUGUGUCUGUACAGUUUAGGCCAAGAAGAGAAGCAAACGUGCUGCUCAUCAUUUGCCAUCAUCCAUCUCUACUCAAAUUAUGUUCAUCUUUUUCAGUUCAUCUUUGAAAUUUCGGUCCAUUUUCUGUUGGCAGGAUGCGUAAAAAAAGUCGAAGGCAGCAACUCAAAAAUAGAUGAAUGUUGGAAGGAAUAUGUAUAAGGCUGAGAGGAAAUAUCAUCUUGAGUUCAACAUUUGGUGUUUCUUCAGGUCACUUUAGCGUGCAUUUUCAGUACAUCUUCCAGUUCAGUGUGUAUUUUAAGAAGAAAAACCA